rnacentral:rRNA from 1 species
CGCGUAGGCGGAUGGUUAAGUCCGGUGUGAAAGAUCAGGGCUCAACCCUGAGAGUGCAUCGGAAACUGGGCAUCUUGAGGACAGGAGAGGAAAGUGGAAUUCCUAGUGUAGCGGUGAAAUGCGUAGAUAUUCGGAGGAACACCGGUGGCGAAGGCGACUUACUGGUCCAUUACUGACGCUGAGGCGCGAAAGCGUGGGGAGCAAACAGGAUUAGAUACCCUCGUA